rnacentral:rRNA from 1 species
CACGUAGGGCGCAAGCGUUGUCCGGAAUUAUUGGGCGUAAAGAGCUCGUAGGUGGUUUGUUACGUCUGCUGUGAAAACCUAGGGCUUAACCCUGGGCUUGCAGUGGAUACGGGCAGACUAGAGGUAGGUAGGGGAGAAUGGAAUUCCUGGUGUAGCGGUGAAAUGCGCAGAUAUCAGGAGGAACACCGGUGGCGAAGGCGGUGGGCUGGGCCGGCACUGACGCUGAGGAGCGAAAGCGUGGGGAGCGAACAGG